CCCUUAGAUGUUCUGGGCUGCACGCGCGCUACACUGAAGCGUUCAACGAGUAUUCACCUUGCCCGGGAGGGUUGGGUAAUCUUUUGAAAACGCUUCGUGAUGGGGAUAGAUUAUUGCAAUUAUUAAUCUUCAACGAGGAAUUCCUAGUAAACGCAAGUCAUCAGCUUGCAUUGAUUACGUCCCUGCCCUUUGUACACACCGCCCGUCGCACCUACUGAUUGAAUGACUCGGUGAAAAAUUGGGACUGUGAGAACAAUCGAUUCAGUUCGAAUGUACUCGUGGAAACUUUUUUUAACCUCGCCAUUUAGAAGAAGGUGAAGUCGUAACA
rnacentral:rRNA from 1 species